ACUUUUCUGCAAAAUCAGAAAGGGUUUUGGAAGUUUAAGUGAAGGGGAUUCAGAAGGGGAAAGCGUCGAAUCUUGCCACAGUGAGGCUGUUGUGCAGCAUCAAUCCAGACAAGUUCCUGUGGGGUCUGUCUUGGUGGCUUGUUCUCCAGGACGAUUGAUACAGAGGAGUCAGUCCUUAGUGUGCUGCAGUCCUCCUUAUCUUUGACAGGACAGCCCUCGGCUUUGGGGAGUUUGGAACCCUGCGAUGCUGGGAGCAGAGAAGGCCCAUCCCUGACUCCGCGUGAGGAUGAUCCAGCCUCCCUCCCUGGGGGCUCCCUCCGGCCACCUCCUUGCCCUGCCCGCCCCACCAGGAGCCUGACUUCCAUGUCAGCCCUCGAGGGCCACCUCCCCGGGUGGGAAAGCCACCCAUAGGCACCUGAAGGAGACGGGCCUCCCUCAGGGCCCAACAGGCAGAGGCCAUCGAGGAGAUGAGAGUGUUUCCUCCUGUGGGUCCUGGCUGGCGUCGGAGCCUGGAGGCUCUUGAGGUCAGCAUGGGCGGCCAGAUUAGGGCUGGGCAGGGCGGACACCGCCUGAGAGAGCAGGCCGGACGCAGUAGCCAAGGGGGCCUCGGCUUGGUGGCUCACGUGCGGUGAUCUCAGACUGGCCGUGGGUCUGUGGUAACCCUGGGGACAUCUUCCCCAAGGCCAGCCCCCAGUGGACAGCAGUGAGUCCGCCUUGAGCCUCGUUAGGAAACGUGCCCCAGAGAGCGCCUUCACGCUCGCUCGUGCCUGCCUUCUGCUCAGCCUGGGGGGGGACUGGGUUGUGUUGGGGCUGCUCUCCUUGUCCUUCCCUGCCAUCUGGGUCUGGCCUCAGCAGGGGACCCCCUCAUCUUAAAGGCAGUGGCAUGCCUCAUUAGCCAUCUCCUCCCAUGUCAGGCAGUCGGGCUUUUUCCAAUGACUAAAACCGGAGGAGAAAAAACCCUGAGCCCUUGGUUCAGAUCAAGGCAGCAGAUCCAGGGGACUUAUUUUCCCCUGGAGUAGUACCAAAUCUCGCAGGGACAGUUGGCUCUAGAGAUUUUCUUAUUUUAUAAAAACUAAUUUAAAAGGACUCUCACAUCUUAAAACAGAAGUUCUUUCGGUUCGUUUGCUUGCCAUAAGUAAUUCACACCCAGGUGACCUUUUUGGAGACUUUGAUGAAGCAUUAUACUCAAGGGUCAUGAAAACCAAACUCAGAAAGACCAAGAUCCAGUUUUGCUUCCCAGAGAAACUGGCCGUGGAACUUCUGGCUCUGGUCGGAUUUUUUUUUUCUCUACAGCUAAGCCCAAAAUGUCAUAGAAAUUAUUUUUCUAAAUAAGAUGAGUUUCAGAGAUGAAGACUGUAUCUGAAUAUCAAAGUGUUGUGGAUUACAGUCGGCCUAGUUGUCUUGGAUCCUAACUUGAAAAGACUGGCAGGUUGCUCCAGUACGAAAAUAGAAGUGUGAGGCGACGUUAUGCACACAAACUACCUCUCAGUCCCCAAGGAGGGGAACGUUUGCUCGAGGCAAACAAGUACUUUUACCAGUAAUCUCCUGUGGAAAGAGACCAUCUGACAGUUUCCUACAAACCAGCCAAAGUUCCCUUCAGCACCGCGGCUCUACACGGAGCUCAGCUCCCAGGACUGCAUUUCCUCCUAGAGCAAAAGAAGGCAGUGGCGGCCAUUAGCAGGGACAUCAUUCAGCACUGAACACCAGCCCGAGUGUCACUGAGGAAGUUGCUGUUAACUAACCUUCCUCUCCUGGAACACACACAUGUGUACACACACACACACACACACACAGCCUUCAUUUGAAGUGUCAACUCCAACUGUUACUCUGACAGCCCAUUUGGAAGGCACUGAAAGUAGAAGCUUUCAUCAUAAUUGUCUGUUUUCUUCCUCACCUGGGACAGCAGAGCAGUGACUCAAAGGCCUAUCCAGGAGUGGACGGCUGACUGCUGGGGUUCCCCCGGCCUGCCUGCCCCACGCCUGAGGAUGACAGGCUUCUGGCCUGGAGAGCGCUGCCUGCUGCCCGGGGGUCCUCCCAGAAAGGCCUCCCACCCUACAGAAUCACAUCCGGGGCAUCUGCAAGUGAGGGCCCACCUUGGAUGGGACCCCAGGGUAGAAAGAGGACAUGAGGAGCCAACUAAAAAAACAAACAAACAAGGAUCAAUUAAGGACUUUAGUUAGUAGUACUCUGUCAAUUUCGAUUCGUUCAUUAUGACAAAUGUGCCAUAUUAAUGUAAGAAAUUAAUAAUAAUAUGAGAAACUAGGUGUGGGGCAUACAAGAACUCUGUGCUUUUUCUAUAGAUCUGAAACUGUUCUAAAAGUUUAUUUUAAAAAUUAAUCUUUCUUACAACUAUUUU